GAUCAUGGUCAGGAUGAACGCUAGCUACAGGCUUAACACAUGCAAGUCGAGGGGAAACGACAUCGAAAGCUUGCUUUUGAUGGGCGUCGACCGGCGCACGGGUGAGUAACGCGUAUCCAACCUGCCCACCACUUGGGGAUAACCUUGCGAAAGUAAGACUAAUACCCAAUGAUAUCUCUAGAAGACAUCUGAAAUGGAUUAAAGAUUUAUCGGUGAUGGAUGGGGAUGCGUCUGAUUAG
rnacentral:rRNA from 1 species